CAGUCGCCGCGGUAAUACGUAGGGUGCGAGCGUUAAUCGGAAUUACUGGGCGUAAAGCGUGCGCAGGCGGUUGUGUAAGACAGGUGUGAAAUCCCCGGGCUUAACCCGGGAACUGCGCUUGUGACUGCACAGCUAGAGUAUGGCAGAGGGGGGUAGAAUUCCACGUGUAGCAGUGAAAUGCGUAGAGAUGUGGAGGAAUACCGAUGGCGAAGGCAGCCCCCUGGGCCAAUACUGACGCUCAUGCACGAAAGCGUGGGGAGCAAACAGGAUUAGAUACCCGCGUAGUCCCUGUCUCUUAUAC
rnacentral:rRNA from 1 species